AAGGGAAAGAAGAUUAAGAAGACGAAAAAAAGAAACAAAAAAAUUCACCUUGUUCUUUCUCUCCAAUCAUGCCUGCUAACUUGUUGAUCAUCUCUUCUCUUUCUUGUCGUGUAUGAUUUUCCACCCACUGUUGAAGAUUAAAUCCUCGAAGUUUGACAUCAUUCAAAAGGAAGAGAGAAGCAGGGAGUUUUAAAUGAUCUUUGCUGCUGUUU
rnacentral:ribozyme from 13 species